UUAAAAAUGAUGAUGGGGAAAGUAUCUUGCUUUACUUGAUGCAAGAGAGGGGAUGCCGUGGCUGAAAGCAUCUCUCAUGAAGAAGCAGAGGAAAACCACCCCAGAGUGCUGAGUUGAAUCUGAGUAGGCUCGGACGUCUGCCCGCGUUAAGGGAGCAAAGAGAAAGUAUCAGGCCGUGAAUGUCACUUUGGGGAUUCGCUGGUUUUGAGGCUUUAACUUGGGUGGAACCACGGGAAUAAUGCUCUCGUCCCAUAU
rnacentral:ncRNA from 1 species